rnacentral:rRNA from 1 species
CAGCAGCCGCGGUAAUACGUAGGGUGCGAGCGUUAAUCGGAAUUACUGGGCGUAAAGCGUGCGCAGGCGGCUGUGUAAGACAGGUGUGAAAUCCCCGGGCUUAACCUGGGAACUGCGCUUGUGACUGCACAGCUAGAGUAUGGCAGAGGGGGGUGGAAUUCCACGUGUAGCAGUGAAAUGCGUAGAGAUGUGGAGGAGCACCGAUGGCGAAGGCAGCCCCCUGGGCCAAUACUGACGCUCAUGCACGAAAGCGUGGGGAGCAAACAGGAUUAGAGACCCCUGUAGUCCCUGUCUCUUAUAC